GGGAAACACGACCCGGCCCGGCCCACAUCGCAGCGCGCUGGCCAGCUGGCAGGUUCUCUCCUUGGCCCUGGGAGCCUUGGGGAUUGUAGCGGGCGCCUUCCUGCUGUGUCUGCACAGAAACAGGACAGGGCUUGCUUCCAGAGUGCUGCACACAUCACCUCGUGCUGGGGCAGGCGACUCCGCUGGUCACAGCCUUCGGCUGAUGAAGGAGUCUCCGAGUGAGGGAGAAGAGAUCACGUAUGCAGAGCUGAGUAUCCGACCACAGACUCAGAGGAGAGUGACGAGGGUAAAUUCCCGAAUGACGGCAGAAGAGAUCACGUACACCGAUCGCCGCAUCCAGCCGCCGACACAGAGCAGAACGAGAAGAGCAAGUUCCCCAGCAAGGUCUCCCUCCGACACGGUUUACGCUGUGGUUAGAAAGGGCAGAGCAGACAGCUUUCUGUAUUGAGCCAAGGGGGCAUUUCCUUAGGGCAGCUACAGCCGAGCGCUGUCUUUCUGGCUUUUAGCCAAUGGAGGACGGGAUAGCUGUGUAGUUACUGUCAUCUUAGUGCUGAAUUCCUACGUUGGGUGCUUGUCUGUAUCUUUGGCAUCUGCUCCGUGUACGUUUGAUGACAAGCACCUGGGCAGGAAAACUCGGUGUAACUAAGUUGCAAAAUCCCGUUCCUGCCCAGGCUUUCUGACCUCCUGCCUAGCCCAGGCCAGAGAAUCUCACCCCGUGAGUUCAGCAUCGGAGGGAAUUACUCUUCCCCACUACACAAGCGGGGCUGCACCUAAGUGAUUUAGGCACACAGGUCCAUGCGCGUAAGUCACUUACUGCUUUGAAAAGAGAACUUCCAACUGUGAGUUAGACUCCAGGUGGUGAAAGACCCGCCACAUCCCGUGGUGACCCAUUCCAAACGCAAAUCACCUGAGAGGGCCAAAAUUGUCCUGCCAAAAAAUACAGUUUUGUCUAAACUGAAAAUUUUCUUGGGAAAAUCUUUAUUCUGCUGAAAAAAUGUCAAUUUUCCAGCAAGAAAUGUCAAAAUGCAAAUUACCGUUUAUAAAUCAACAUUUGAGAACAAAGUGACACUUUUUGUUUUGACAUAAAAUGUCAUUUAUUUUUGGUUUUAAAAAAGCAAAAUGAAAAGUUAUGUCAAAAAAUAAAACAAAAAUUGUUGCUUAGCUUUGAAAUAUCAUUUUAAAGUGACAAUUGAUGAUUAGUUUCUGUCAAAAGUGCUGACAUUUUUCAUGUCAGAAUUUCUGAUUUGAAAUUCUGGGGGGCUUUUCGUUCCACACAAUGUUUCGACAUUUCAAUUUUCUGUUCCAACCGAGUGUCCUAUGGACUGAAAAAGUCCAUUUCCUGAGCUGUUCUGGCAGUGCCCCUGGCCUGUAAAAACCUUCCCUGUGCUCCUAGUUUGAGCUAUG